rnacentral:rRNA from 1 species
GGAGAGGCAGCGGGUGGUGGUGGUGGUGGAGGACGCCCCGGCGUCGCGCGCGGCGCUGCAGUGGGCCGUGCGCAACUUCAUCCGGGCCGGCGACUCCAUCGCGCUGCUCCACGUGUGCGCGCCGGCCCGCUCCAAGCGCCGGCGCCGGCGCCUCCGCCUGCGGGGCUUCCAGCUCGCGCUCGCCUUCAGGGACCUCUGCGACGGCGUCGCGGAGGCCAUGGUGGAGAUCGUGGUGCGGCGGUCGGCCAGCUCCGGGCGUCCACGCUCGUCGUCGGCCUCCACGACAAGAGCUUCCUCUACGGGUCUGAAUUUGCGUGUGUUCUCGUGACUGACGGUCAGGUCGCCGGGCCCGUACGAGGGAGUGAGCGGGCUGGGGUGCCGGGUGCUGGCCGUCCGGCAGCACGCGACGGCGCGGCACGGGGCCGUGGAGGCGGAGCUCACCCAGGUGGAGACCAUACGACUGCACGUGCCGCCGCCCAAGAUCCCGUUCCCGAUCUUCGCGCUGCCGCUGGGCGUCAUCUGGAGGCGAUCGUCGUCGUCAAAGAAGAGGAGAUGA